rnacentral:rRNA from 1 species
GUGCACGCUGGCGGUAGGCCUAACACAUGCAAGUCGAACGGCAGCACAGUAAGAGCUUGCUCUUACGGGUGGCGAGUGGCGGACGGGUGAGGAAUACAUCGGAAUCUACUUUUUCGUGGGGGAUAACGUAGGGAAACUUACGCUAAUACCGCAUACGACCUACGGGUGAAAGCAGGGGAUCUUCGGACCUUGCGCGAUUGAAUGAGCCGAUGUCGGAUUAGCUAGUUGGCGGGGUAAAGGCCCACCAAGGCGACGAUCCGUAGCGGGUCUGAGAGGAUGAUCAGCCACACUGGAACUGAGACACGGUCCAGACUCCUACGGGAGGCAGCAGUGGGGAAUAUUGGACAAUGGGCGCAAGCCUGAUCCAGCCAUACCGCGUGGGUGAAGAAGGCCUUCGGGUUGUAAAGCCCUUUUGUUGGGAAAGAAAAGCAGCAGGUUAAUACCCCGCUGUUCUGACGGUACCCAAAGAAUAAGCACCGGCUAACUUCGUG